UGUUUAGUAUUUUUAUGGAUAUUCUGCAGCAACGCAGUUGCAGCAAACGAAAACGAAAAGGCAACUGCCGAAGCAACAGUAUUGAUCAAUGGGGACAAUGUGACUAAGGCAGAAGCAGCAGUUCAGUCUGGCCGCAUUAUCAACGGUGUUGGUGUGGAUAUUGCAAGAUAUCCUUUUGCAUUAAGUUUACGCCUCGAUGGCAACUUCUAUUGCGGUGCUGUUGUCAUCUCAUUAUCUCAUGCACUGACGGGUGGUGUAGCUGUUUAUCGAUUUCGUGACAGCGUUCAAAGAUUGACUCUCUACGGAGGCAGUAAAUCAGCAACAUCCGGAGGCGUAUUAUUUCAAGUGAUCAGGAUCACUGUUCAUCCUAACUUUAACCCGAAUGUUCAAGUAUCUGAUUUCAAUAUUGGCGUCCUCGCUGUGUCAACGAAUGCCUUUGGAGGAAGGCCGAAUAUUGCUCCAAUAACGCUUACAUCAAUUGGAGUAGAAAUUGGCACUAAAUGCUCCGUGUACGGAUGGGGCAGAACAAAUGUUAAUAUCCCUGGGGCUGCUAGCACAUUACGUUCUGCUGAAAUGAUCAUCACAUCGGGUGGUACCUGUGCGAAACAAUGGGCUCCGUUAGCAGUUCAAAUUACUUCAAACAUGCUCUGUGCUAAGGGCGUUAAAGGAGCGGACUUGUGUUAUGAAGAUUUUGGUGAUGCUCUGUUGUGCGGUGGAAGGCUGACUGGGGUCGCUUUCUUAACAAAUUCUAGAUGUGAUAACGCUCGGGAUACAGCAUAUGUGAAGAUAACGGCAUCAAGUAUUCGCAGCUUCAUUCGCAGCCAUGCUGGUGUAUGAUGCAGAUUGUAUGUUUUAGAAUGAUGACAUGAUUGUUAUUUUGUAGAAUAUGCAUGCUUCACUAUGA